rnacentral:rRNA from 1 species
UUCUAAGGGCGUUGAAGCAUGAUCGCAAGGACAUGUGGAGCGCUUAGAAGUGAGAAUGCCGGUGUGAGUAGCGAAAGACGGGUGAGAAUCCCGUCCACCGAUUGACUAAGGUUUCCAGAGGAAGGCUCGUCCGCUCUGGGUUAGUCGGGUCCUAAGCUGAGGCCGACAGGCGUAGGCGAUGGAUAACAGGUUGAUAUUCCUGUACCACCAUUAUUCGUUUUAAGCGAUGGGGGGACGCAGUAGGAUAGGCGAAGCGUGCUGUUGGAGUGCACGUCCAAGCAGUGAGAUUGAGUGUUAGGCAAAUCCGGCACUCUUAAGAUUGAGCUGUGAUGGGGAGAGGAACUUGUUCCUCGAGUCGUUGAUUUCACACUGCCGAGAAAAGCCUCUAGCUAGAAUAACGGUGCCCGUACCGCAAACCGACACAGGUAGUCAAGAUGAGAAUUCUAAGGUGAGCGAGCGAACUCUCGUUAAGGAACUCGGCAAAAUGACCCCGUAACUUCGGGAGAAGGGGUGCUCUUUGAGGUUCACGCUUCGAAGAGCCGCAGUGAAUAGGCCCAAGCGACUGUUUAUCAAAAACACAGGUCUCUGCUAAACCGUAAGGUGACGUAUAGGGGCUGACGCCUGCCCGGUGCUGGAAGGUUAAGAGGAGUGGUUAGCGCAAGCGAAGCUACGAAUCGAAGCCCCAGUAAACGGCGGCCGUAACUAUAACGGUCCUAAGGUAGCGAAAUUCCUUGUCGGGUAAGUUCCGACCCGCACGAAAGGCGUAACGAUUUGGGCACUGUCUCAACGAGAGACUCGGUGAAAUCAUAGUACCGGUGAAGAUGCCGGUUACCCGCGACAGGACGGAAAGACCCCGUGGAGCUUUACUGUAGCCUGAUAUUGAAAUUCGGUACAGUUUGUACAGGAUAGGUAGGAGCCUUAGAAGCGUGAGCGCUAGCUUACGUGGAGGCAUUGGUGGGAUACUACCCUAAUUGUAUUGGAUUUCUAACCCGCAGCACUUAUCGUGCUGGGAGACAGUGUCAGGCGGGCAGUUUGACUGGGGCGGUCGCCUCCUAAAGAGUAACGGAGGCGCUCAAAGGUUCCCUCAGAAUGGUUGGAAAUCAUUCAUAGAGUGUAAAGGCAUAAGGGAGCUUGACUGCGAGACCUACAAGUCGAGCAGGGUCGAAAGACGGACUUAGUGAUCCGGUGGUUCCGCAUGGAAGGGCCAUCGCUCAACGGAUAAAAGCUACCCCGGGGAUAACAGGCUUAUCUCCCCCAAGAGUUCACAUCGACGGGGAGGUUUGGCACCUCGAUGUCGGCU